rnacentral:rRNA from 1 species
UACGUAGGGUGCAAGCGUUAAUCGGAAUUACUGGGCGUAAAGCGUGCGCAGGCGGUUUUGUAAGCCAGAUGUGAAAUCCCCGGGCUUAACCUGGGAAUGGCAUUUGGGACUGCAAGGCUGGAGUGCGGCAGAGGAGACUGGAAUUCCUGGUGUAGCAGUGAAAUGCGUAGAUAUCAGGAGGAAUACCGAUGGCGAAGGCAGGUCUCUGGGCUGACACUGACGCUCAUGCACGAAAGCGUGGGGAGCAAACAGGAUU